rnacentral:rRNA from 1 species
CAGCCGUAAACUAUGCUCGCUAGGUGUCAGGCAUGGCGCGACCGUGUCUGGUGCCGCAGGGAAGCCGUGAAGCGAGCCACCUGGGAAGUACGGCCGCAAGGCUGAAACUUAGAGGAAUUGGCGGGGGAGCACAACAACGGGUGGAGCCUGCGGUUUAAUUGGACUCAACGCCGGACAACUCACCGGGGACGACAGCAAUAUGUAGGCCAGGCUGAAGACCUUGCCUGAAUCGCUGAGAGGAGGUGCAUGGCGUAGUCGUGU